AGGUCCCUCCUGGAGCCUCUGGCCAAAGGUGCCUGGUGAGACGUGAGGGCGACCACUGGGUUUCUGGAGCCGAAGCUACAGAGGUUCUGAGGCCAAUUCCACCCCUGAGGAGAAGGAAAUCUUAGCAGCCUAUGAAGGCAUACGAGCAGCUUCAGAGCUUUCAGAUUCAGCAAUGUCCUCACUCCUGACAGACCAGGGUCCCCUUUCCAGAGUAAUGGAGGAGCACCGUGAUUUUUUAAUCCAAAAUUCCCGGAUUUGAAUGAAAUGCUCUGGAAAGGCUCUGGAAAUCAUACGGUGUUCACAGUGAGUCUCUGGUUUCCCAUCCCCUGCUUCAGAUGUGAAAACAUGUUCCUUGCAGUCGGAAUGUAAACUCAUCAGCUCCAUUAAACUUGAGCACUAUAUCCCAUCAUCCAGAUCAUCAAUGAAGAUGUUCACCAGGAAUUGCUGAUCACUGGCCUCCAGCUGGAUGUUGCACUCCUGAUCACCACCCCGGCCAGCAGAUUUCAACCAGCCUGCUGUCUGCUCAUCCAGCCCAUACUUCAUGGGCUUCUCUGUGAGGGAGCCCUGUCUGUGUCCACUACUACACACAUUCAUUUUGAUUUUAAACAAUCAAACAGAAGUGAGUGUUUUAACAGCAGAAUUAUUUUUCAAAGGGAAAUAGAAGGGUAUGGCUUUGAUGGAACGAGUGCCUUCAGGCUCCAUUGGCAGGCACUGUUUGAAAACUAUUUGGGUGAUUUUUGAUAAGAAAUGAAAGAUGCAACAGCAGGAAGCCAUUCAGCAAUCCCUGACAAGGGAGGUCCACUGUCAAUUGCUGGGAGGGCCCCCACCUGUUUCUUUUAAUGGUGCUCCCAAAUCCCACCUCUUGGGCCUCCCAUCCCAUCCUUUUUGGUCCCCUCAGGCAUCUCCUCCCCAGGAUCUGCUCUGUGUCCUACCCAGGGUCCCCAAAUAUCCUCCCAUUAAUCAUUCCCAAAGAUUUUCUUUCCAUCUUUCCCCUCAGACCUUUGCCUUUCACCCAGGCCACUGCCCUGGUACCUCCCAAGUCCAUUCCUUGCCUCCCUCUCCACUCCCAACCAUCUCCCAGUGCCCUCGUUUUUGUCCUCCUCCAUCCUCCUCCUCCUGUCCCCACCAAGCCUCUCCCUUGCAGUCCCCAUGUCCCUACACUUGAAUUCCUUUCCCCUCCCCUGCAUCCCACACAGGGCCCCUUCAACACCCCAAUCCCAGUCCCGUGGGCUCCCCAGUUCCCCCCAGUUCAGCAUCUUUGGGUCCCCCCCAACCUCCUCCCCCCCUCCCUGCAGGCCCUGAAUUCCCCUGGCUCUCCUUGUCUCCAUCCCCACCCUGGGCCCUGCAGGCACAGGGGUUGGAGGUGAAACUGGGUGCAGUGGGAGCAGGGGGAGCAGAAGGGAUUUUCGCCCUCAGACGGGGGCAGCCCUGGGCUGGGGGGGCUGGGGACACCCGUGUCCCUCCCCCAGCCCCA